CAAAACCGACACCCGCUGCGAUAAAGUGCAGGAAUCUCGAGUCACUAGUAAGGGAUGUGUUUGAACAGAAGCAGAGCUCUGGGACGUGUGGACAGACUUUCACUGUAAUGAUGGACGUCCGCUCAUGGACAGAAGUAUAACCCCUGCUGGCCAUCAUGCCGGGGCUCGGGGGGGACCCGAAUCAUCCCCAUCCCUUCAUUCACACAACACUCACUCAUAUCGCAGAGAUCUGGCUGGGAUCGAACCAGCAACCUCUGAACCAUGAGGCAGCGCUCUAACCUGUGAGCCACAGAUCUCUUACUUGAACUUGUGAAGGAACUUAUAUUUCACUGUUAACCUG